UUUUAGGAUUGUCCUAUGGUAAAGAUACU
rnacentral:piRNA from 1 species